AAAGAAAGUAAGAAGAGGAAAAGUGAGUCAGAGAGAGUGAACUUGUAAGAGUCCUAAAAGUGUGAGAUAGAGUGUCCAUCCAAGCAACUUUAUCUCUGUUUUUCUUUUCCUUUUUUUUUCUUUUUUUUUUUUUUUUUUGCCCCCUCCAAAGAACAGCAAUAAACAAAUGGCUUCUGAAAUCUUUGUGCAAUCGGCCCUGGCACCAUGACGACAGAGGCACGGAGAACCAUCCUAGAAGGAUUGAAGCUAAAAGAUCUAAAGGCAAAGAACUACCUCUUCCAAACAACUAAUCGUUCUAUCUUGGAAACCCAGCAAAGAAAGUUCCAAGCAGAUUUGGGAUUCUACAAAGAAAAAAUUUCAGGGGACGGAAAAGGCAAAAAGGCAGCAGCUUCAACAUCUCUGUACAAAAUUUGAAAUACUCGGUAUGAAGUCAGGAGAGACCAUAUCUAAUUUUUUUUCCGGAACAAUGGCAAUUGUUAACAAGAUGCAAGUCCAUAAGUAGAAGAUAGAAGACAUGAUAGUGGUUGAGAAAAUUCUUCAAUCGUUGACGUUGAAAUUCAAUUAUGUAGUUUGUUCAAUUGAAGAAUUUAAAGUAAUAUUUGAUGAACUAGUAGGUUCAUUACUGGUCGAUGAACAUAAAAUGAUCCAGCGAGAUAAAGAAUAGAACGCACUGCAAGUCUCCACCGACAAUCUGUCUUCAACGCCAUCUAGAGCCAAUUGAGGAAAAGGCCGAGGUAGAAGAUAAAAUGACCGUAGACAACAACAAAAAAUGAAGAUAAACAAGUUCUUGAUUCUCAAGGAAAAGGAAGAGGGAGAGGUCGAACAGUUACCAUUCAUCCACUUACAGACAAAAGUCAAAAGAUAAGUCCAAUAUUGAGUGCUUUAGAUGUCACAUAUAUGGCCAUUAUUAGUUUGAAUGUCGCACUAAUUUGAAUAAAGAACAUGGUGAAAAAUCUAACUUUGCAGAUCAGCAAAAAAAAGUUGUCUCACUCUUAAUCGCAUGCCAUGCAAUGGAGGAAACUUCCCAAAAUAUGUGGUAUUUGGACACCCACUCUAGCAAUCAUGUGUGUGGAGAUAAGUCUAUUGGAAUAAUUAAUUAUUCCAUAUGUAGGUUUCACAUUGAAUUGCAAAUUUUACGGGUUAGAUGUAUGGUUCAUAAUGAUAUUUGUGUUUGGACCAAAUUUAUUAAGGAUCAAUUGGGCCUUUUACACCUUACGGGUUGUAAUUAAUUUUAUGUGGUAGUUUAAAGUAUGUGGGCCAAAAAUAAAUCCUAAUUAGAAUUCUAGUCGUAAUGGGACGACUCAAAUUAUUUCCUAUAUAUAAAGGCUAGGUCCCCUCUCCUCUCCAUAUGUUUUCAUUAGCUUGCUCCAUUGAUAGCUAAUACUUUUGUGAGGAGCAAGGAAGGGAAGAUCUUGACUGCUAUUACAACUACUAUUCAUAUCAACAAUGACUUCCGCAGGUAUGAAUUUGGUUUAUUAAUUUAUUAUUUGGUGAUUCUUGAUUCUUAGCAUGAUUACAAAUUAAAAUUCAACAAUUGGUAUCAGAGCCUUCAUGCUAAGAUCAGAAUCAUACACAAAAAUAAUAUUCUAUCUCGAUUAUUUUAAACUUUUGUUAAGCACUGUCCCAAAAAAAAAAAAAAUAAUAAUAAUAAUAAUAAUAAUAAUAAUAAUAAUAAUAAUAAUAAAUUGGACGUUUGGCCUUCUGCACGCUUUUGUCACUUAUCUUUGUCUUUUUGAAUUUGUAAUUCAUAAUUCUUCACAUUCGUAUACUGUUAAUAGCAUGGUUUAAGUAGAAAAAUUUCAAUUAUAAGUAAAUUUAUGGAUGAUUAUAAGUCUGAAUAGACCGACACGUAGGCCCAACGUUCCAUGAAUUUGCAUCUCUGAAUUAUGGUCUCAGGCUAUUUUCGUUUUAGUUUCAAUUGGGUUUUCAUUGUGGAUCCAGUAAUAUUCAUAUAAUUGUGAUGCAAAACUUGAUCUAGAAACCAUGUUACUAAUAUUAGUUUUUAUUUAACAUUAUUCAUCAUUAUCAGCAUUAUACUAUACGAUUACUGUGGUUCUUCAAGAUUUUAUUUUUUUUUUUAUUUUUUUUUUGGUGGACUUCUUGUGUAUGAAAGAUCGGAAGUUUGCUUGACUGUGUCAAACCCAGUUGCUAUUUGGGUGAGGCUCCGGCCGACUGCUACUUGUCUGGUUGAGGUGCCGGUCACACCAGGGGUGGAGCCCCAUUAGGCCAUCUGCCCGCACUGAACUUUUGGGCUCCAAUAGGCCCAAUUUAUUUUUUUUGUUUGGGUAAAGCCUGUUUAAUUAAAAAGGCCCAAUUUCCCGACCCGACUUCUUGAAUCAGUCCAUGGGCCGUUUAGUGACCCGACCCGAACCGACCCGACUUCUUGAAUCAAUUAUAACCCGUUCAAUUCAUGUUUCCAAUUUCCAAACCCUUGCAAACUUGAAAUCUUGAAUCACGUCUCUCCUCUCUGCUCUCAACCGGUGCCGUCGCCGCUUCUCGCCAGUCGGCAACUACUCCAACUCGCAAGCGACGCCGACUCAACUUCCACUCUUCCAGUCCACCGCCAGGUCCGCCACUGCUACGAGCGUCUGCCACUGCUUCUGCGGCUCUGCCGAGUUCCGACCGAAGCUGGAAGUUGCCCAACGAAGAACUAAGAAGGUGAUUGAAAGUUACCUUGCUUACCUAAUGUAUCUUUCAGUGAAGAUGGAGUGUGGAAAAUUCUGAAAAUUGAAAUUGUGAAAAUUCUGAAAAUUGAAAUUCUGAAUCACGUCUCUCCUCUCGCCUCUCGGGUUCUGCAGUCUACAGACUCUGCACUACUUAAUUUAAUAAAUUUAUGAAUGUUAGUGUUAGUGUGUAAUGUGUUACUGGUUAAUUAUUGAAUAUUGAUGGUUCUCAUUUCUCAACUCUCAAUCUCAUGGGUUUAUAUAAAUUAUAUUUGAUAUUUCUAUUGUGGAAUUGGAAUUUGGAAAUGCUGUUAGCCUGGCUGUUACUCUGUUGUAGAGAAAUUGAUUAAGUUCAUCUUUCUCAGCCCAUCAAGGAGAUUGCCCUGGCCGUUUCUCUCCUGGUUUUUGGCGCGCUCGGAAUCUUUCUUUCAGUUUCUUGGAAUCUUGGUGCCAUUAUGGCCGUCAAUAAUGUCGGCAGUGACCACUGACCGCACCCACGGUAAAUUUUCUAUUGGAGUUUGAGUUUGAGUUUAACUGUUUUUAUUGGUGUAUUUAUUGUGGGAUUUCAACUUUCUUUCUAGUUCACUAAGUUAAUGUUCUUUAAUGAUUAACUUAAGGGGGUUUUGAAUAAUAUUCAGUAAAUUAAUAAUCUUUAGUUAUUAAUUAAGCAUUAGAUAUUUG
rnacentral:lncRNA from 1 species